GGUCAGGAUGAACGCUGGCGGCACGCUUAACACAUGCAAGUCGAACGAAGUGGGAAAAGUUACUUUUACACUUAGGUGGCGGACGGGUGCGUAACGCGUGGGUAACCUACCCUUGACAGGGGGAUAACGUAUAGAAAUGUACGCUAAUACCGCAUAAGCCCACGGAGUCGCAUGGCUCUGAGGGAAAAAGCCGAGACGGUCAAGGAUGGGCCCGCGUCUGAUUAGGUAGUUGGCAGGGUAAAGGCCUACCAAGCCCACGAUCAGUAGCCGGUCUGAGAGGAUGGACGGCCACAUUGGGACUGAGACACGGCCCAAACUCCUACGGGAGGCAGCAGUGGGGAAUAUUGCACAAUGGGGGAAACCCUGAUGCAAGCGAUGCCGCGUGAAGGAAGAAGUGUUUCGGCACGUAAACUUCUAUCAGCAAGGAAGAAAUCGGACAGUACUUGAGUAAGCACGCCCCGGCUAACUACGUGCCAGCAGCAGC
rnacentral:rRNA from 1 species